rnacentral:tRNA from 1 species
AGGCCUGUCGUUCAGUGGUAGGACCCGGGUCUCCAAAACCCGUGACGAGGGUUCGAUUCCUUCCAGGCCUG